CUCACACAAGCAGCGGAGCGUGUGGUUUAAUUCGUUGCUACACGAAGAACCUUACCUGGGUUUGACAUAGCAGUGGUAGGGAAGCGAAAGCGGACGACCUUCGGGAGCUGUUACAGGUGUUGCAUGGCUGUCGUCAGCUCGUGUCGUGAGAUGUUCGGUUAAGUCCGCUAACGAGCGCAACCCGCGUUGUGUGUUACAAGUGUCACACAAUACCGCCGGUAUUAAGUCAGAGGAAGGUGCGGAUGACGUCAAGUCAGCAUGACCUUUAUAUCCAGGGCUACACACACGCUACAAUGGUCAGCACAAUAGGUUGCCAAGUCGUGAGACGGAGCCAAUCCUCCAAAGCUGGCCUCAGUUCAGAUUGUAGGCUGCAACCCGCCUGCAUGAAGUUGGAGUUGCUAGUAACCGCAGGUCAGCUAUACUGCGGUGAAUACGUUCCCGGGGAUU
rnacentral:rRNA from 1 species